CAGAGUAACUAAUAGACCCAAUGACGAUACCUUUCUCACUUACACAAGAAAGAGAGCGAAAAUACCAUAACAAAUGCAUAAGACAAAGACACAAAUACCCAAUUUUUUGUCCCUUAGUGUGUAACCUGUUUUUCAAGAUCCGCAACUUGAGUUGCGAAACAAACUUUGACAGUUCGUGCCUUCAUCGUGCUUGGUGUUCGAAUUUUGGAUAUUAUUUAGUAAAAAAUCGAUACGAGUACAUUGAAAAGACGGUGAAAUUAUCUUAAUAUAGACAUCGAAGUAAAUAGAAUGGUGCGUUGUCGUGUUAUUGCAUGUAUAAGCGAUAGUGAGAAGAAAAUUGCCGGUGUGUCUUUUCACGCAUGAUCCAGACCUACGUAAUUAAUGGAUCGAAGUGGUAGAAAAGAUUGGAUUCUCACAAAAUAUUGUAAAAUAUGAACAAGCCAAUGAAAAAGUAAGAAAUGUGUUUCGUCAUCAAUAAUCAAUCUGCUUAUAUUUUUUGUAUCUACUAAAUUGAUUAUAAAGACAAAAGAAAAAUCUCA